rnacentral:rRNA from 1 species
UACGGGGGGGGCAAGCGUUGUUCGGAAUUACUGGGCGUAAAGGGCGCGUAGGCGGCCUUCUAAGUCGGACGUGAAAUCCCUCGGCCCAACCGGGGAACUGCGUCCGAUACUGGAGGGCUCGAAUCCGGGAGAGGGAUGUGGAAUUCCAGGUGUAGCGGUGAAAUGCGUAGAUAUCUGGAGGAACACCGGUGGCGAAGGCGGCAUCCUGGACCGGCAUUGACGCUGAGGCGCGAAAGCCAGGGGAGCAAACGGG